AUUUUUAUGUAAGCCAGGGGUAUAACGAAGAAGGGAGGACAGGCCUUUGCUCUCUGGAGGUGCGGGUUCCCUGCUGUCAGUUCUGCCGUUUGGGGCAGUGGGGCCUGAUGAGGCCUUGUGAGACCUUGGGAGGUGAAGGGUGCCGGCAGUCAUCCAGUACGAUUUCUCUUGUCCCAAGGAGAGUAAUAUGCCAGUGCAAACACUUCAAGGGAUGCAACUAAGCAAGAGCAAGCCACAGUAAAGACACAAGCUUUCGGAAGAGCAAGAAGGCUCUUUUUGUGGCCCAGGAGAAAAUUAGCUGUCUACAGUAAGUAUCACGUGCAUUGUUGAUGCAUAGACCACCGGUAACCAGCUUGACAUUUUAUUGCUACAAUGGACCAAAGAAAGGCCACCAGUCAAAAACAGCAGGAAGAAAAUUCCUCUCUACUUUAAAACAAUAUAUGUGACUCAGAAACACUGAAGCAACAGCAAGCUGGAACCUCGCAAUGCUAACUGUACGAGGACUGGAGAAUU